CACGUGUCCCCAAUUUCACCAAAAUCGCUUGUGUGUGAGAAGGCAUACGUCCUCUUUUAUGAACAGAAGGGAACAAGCAGCUUUUAUGAGGUGUUUUUUUCCUUUUUCUCUUUUCUUAAACUAAAUUCUGUUAAUUGAUUUGUAUUCCAUAUUUCAAAUUUGUAUAAAAUAAUUUUUUUGUUCUUUAAUUGAUGUAUAGUUCAAAAUAAAGAUACUAUAACAUAUUUAGUUAACGUUUCAAAGUUAAGUUGACAUUUCAAAGCGGUGACUUUUGAACGAAGAGGAUGCAAAAAAUGUUCGAGAUAUUCCAUUAUUUAUUACAUGUAUGAAUUUUACGAUUUGAAUGCCAAAUUUUGAGAAACGUUGAAUGAAAAAGAAGCAAAAGAAACUUGUUUGCAGAAUAUUCAAAAAUAAAUGUAAUAGAUCAUUUUAUCGUACUAUUGAUAGAUCGGGACGUACAUUUUAAUUUUGACAACAAGUUAAAAAAAUAAAAAUAACCCAAAGAGAAAAGUUCCUCUUGAACAAAUUUUUGAAGAAAACUGACACCUUUCCUGUUUCCAAGAACUGAUUUUCUUUUAAAAAUUGUAUCCAAUAAAACAUUUUGCGUUUACUUUUGACAGACGUCACUAAUCUGUCAAACCGAGGUUUGAAAAGAUGCAAUAAAAAUAAUUUCGAAGAAAAGGUCAGGUUUACAACUUUGCAAAACGUCAAUAUUUUUUAUUAUGAAAGCUAAAUGAGGCAAUAACAUUUUAAGGCGACCAUCGAUGAGGUAGACAACAGAUCUGCUUGAAGCAGACAGUCAACAAAAUUAUAGAAGGGGGUGAAAAUUCAGGCUCAAGUUCCAAAAAUGCUGUGGAUAAUAAGGAUAGGUAGUUAUGUGGUAAAUUCAGUCAGAAAAAUACAUCAGUGGUGUUUGAAAACACAUCAGACCAGUAAUACAUUCUUCAGUCAAAACUCAAGGGUUUAAUGGGUUAAAAAAUAUUGGCAACACCUGUUUCAUGAACAGUGUAAUCCAAUGUUUAUCAAACACAAGAUGGAGUUGGCGAUUUCAGCAAAAAACCUUUGGGUAUGAUGUUGUUGUCUCUAGCUCUGCACAAGAAGCUGAUGCGAGUUUCUUCUUUGGUAAGCUUGACCAAAGUCUAUGGUCAAGAAACUCACCUCAGCUUCUUGUGCAGAGCUAGUGACAACAACAUCAUACCCAAAGGUUUUUUACUGAGACGAGCGGGAUUAUUCAAAAAAUAAUGACUUCAUGAGAGUUGUCCCUUGAUUCAUGGAUUAACUACAACAAAACGCCCAGGAGUUCCUCCGAUAUCUUUUGGAAGGUUUACAAGCCAAUAAGAUCACCGAGAGUUUUAAACCAAUCUUGAUUGAAAUCGACGAUAAAUUGAGCGACAACUCAUUAGUUUGUAGACAGUUUUGUUUGUUGACGUGCAUAAUCCGUGGACCUCCAAACCAUUUUGGGAUUUGUCUUUUUCCAUACCACAAAGAACUGGUCAACUAAGAUUGUUAUGCUUGAAUUCUUUCACAAGAGAAGAAACUCUGGAUGGAGACGAAAAAUCGACGUGUUCCCGAAUUUUAGUAAUACCUUUGAAAAUAUUUUCUUCAACAAAAAGAUUCAGAGGUAAAUUAAAUGUUGCCAUUAACUUUUCUCUGAUAUAUUUAGACAUUGAAUAUGCAGCUCCUUGUCUUUAAACUCUUUAUAGAAUCACAGAGGAUCAACGAUUUAGAGAAAUACUCUGUAUGUUGAGUUAGGUUUUGAAUUUAAUUCAAUUGUCGAUUUUCAGCAGCAAAAGAUAUCACACUGGAUGUUCUUGUUCUGAAAAAAUGUCAAUAUAUUUUCUCUAGUUUGCCAAUAUCAUUAUUUUUUUAAUUAAUAUAGAUGAUGUUAUGGAGAUCAAAUGUAUAUCAAUUAUUCCAUGUAACUGAACUUUUUCAUAAAGAUGGUUAGUUAGGAUUUUAACUUAUAAAAAUAAUGACAAAGAAAUGUUUAAAAAAAAAUUGAAGACAUAAACUGUAGUGAUUUUUUUUGUCCUGAAAUGUUAACCUCGCAUUUAGAGUUAAUAAUGUUUUGUUUUUAAUGACUUGUGUAAUAUAAACCAUACUGAUUAGUAUAUCCGAAUAAGUCUCAACGUGGACGAAACGUUGACAUGAAUUACAAUGAUACACCAUAGAAAAACCGCCAAAAUGAUGGUCUAUGAAAGUAAAGGUGAAAUUCUCUAUUGAGGAUGGAGUUGCCUUUUUUCUUUAUAUUUCCUCAUCAUUCAAUGAAAGUUAUCAGAAAAGAUCCCGACAUUUUCUAAAAAAAUUUUUCCAUUGAGUUUUGUAACUUGAAAACUGUUUACUUUUGUCUGUAUACUUAUUGAGACACUCUGUACACAGCUUUACAGGAUGUCCCAUAUUAUCGUGAACUUUGUGAUGCUUUAUUAUAAUUUCACUUUGAGGCUUUGUAUACGUAUAUAGCUUGUGAAGGAUUUCGUGGUUUGUGUGGACUGUAUUUUACACGUGAGUUGUUAUAUAUCGAAAAUAAUAUUGAACGCACUAUUCGAAGGACCUCCUGUAACUUGAACGAUAUGCUCAUAUUUCUGAGUUGGAUAAAGCUAAUCUGGGAACUCCAAAUAUCUAUAAAUACAAAGGAAAUAUUUUCCAUUAGGCAAUCGGCCAUCGUUAGUUGUAUAACAAUGUGCAAAGUGUCAACUUUUAAAAAAUAUCGGUUCUCGAAAUACAGGGCUCUCGAGAAUGAAAUGUCAUUACGGUACAUUUUGAUGAGACUGCAUCAACGAAAAAAAACCUGGGUUAAAACGCGUUUAUAUAAAUAUUUAUUUUUCAAGGAACUUCUUGAUCGCCCUGUAUAGAAGCAUGUACGAAAACUUCGAUAAUUUCCUAAACUACAUGUUCAAUAUUUGUUUUUUGGGUUGGGACAAGGACACACAAUCCGAGGUGUUCUAAAUGACAUUAUUUCACACAAAUUGGUUAUAGAACUUUUGUCUUUUGGGCCGUAAGGCGAGCAAAGGCCAUAAAAAAGAGAAGAAGAAGAAGGAGGAUAUAGUACUAAUUUUUUAAUUAUUUGAGGUAUGUUUCUGUUAUUGGUUGCUUCUAACUCCAACAACGUAUAUUUUUCUGAAGUCCCAUCUUCUUUACGAUUUGAACUUUUAUAAUUUUCCACUUGAGGUCCACUUCAUUUUGUGACAGGUUGAUCUGUGAGAAUCCUAACCUCGAAUUUUCAAAUCAAUAUUAGAUUUAUGAUUGAUAUAUUUUGAAGUUCUGUCAAUUUUUCAAUAAACGGAGAGUUGAAACAUUAGGGGUUUAUAGGUAACAGAGUUUAAUUUUUUUUAUUUUUCCAUAAUCUUCGUAAGGGAGAGAAUUCAAAAAUCUUUCAUAUGAGAUUUCACACUAUUAGAAUAGUGACCAUCUGAAAAAUAAUAAUGUAAAAGAGGAAACAGUGCCCCAUUCCAUAAGGACCAUUUAAAUUGUAUUUAUGAAAGUAUAUACCAUGAAGUAAUAAUCGUUUCUCAGAUGGAUAUUUGAAAGAAUUUUCAUAUUACACUGGAGUUAUAUCAGUGGUCCAAUCUUAUGAAAAUUCAGAAAGGAAAAAGAUGGUUGAAGGAAAAGAGGGAUAAUGCACCAUUCCUACCCAUCUGGAAGACAUUCCACUUCUUCGCUAAACUAGAACAAGAAUAAAUAUGCUUGGAAGUGUUAGGAAUAAUGAAUUCAAAGUGAAGCAGAACGUUGUCUAAGAUUUGGUGCACUGUUUCACUAAUAUUUAAUGACAUCUCACUGGGAAGACAAUUCGGUCAAGUAAAAAAUAGAAAUUCCAUUCAAAUGAGGUGGGGUAUGACAUAAGUAGAGAAUCAAAGGUUUUCUCGAGUGAAAAAAUGACACAAUGAAAAAUUAACAAUAACAACAAGGGAAUUUUAUAACACUAGUGGAACAAUGCGCUAUUAUCUAGAAGUUUGACAUAUAAAAGGGUAAAUAGUGUACUAUUCCACUAGUGCCAAGCUUCACCUCAUUUAAAAGGUAUUUAUACUGAUUUAUUGGUAUUGAUUUACAUGUAUUUAUAUUGAUUUACAAUUGGAGUUGUAACUGAUGUUACAGUUUUUUUUCAAAUGAAAAAAAUUUCAAGACAGAAUUUAUUUGACACUAUUGGAAUAGUGUGCUGUCUUCUAAAAAAUAGGAGCGAAUUGGUGCAUUUUCUGUUGGAAAAUGUAUAAAGGAGAAUGUAGUAUUGCACCGGAACAGAACACUAUUCCACGUAGAACACUAGGGCUGAGCACUAUUCCACUAGGAGCAGAUGAAAUAUCGUUUGAAAGAUUUUGUUAACUAAGAUUUUUCGAAAUAAUUGAUAUUUUUACGUUGGAAGAAUUGAAAUUGCCCCCAGAUAUUUUUCAUGUAACACUAGCUGAUAAAAACAGCCUAAAUCUUUCUUCCGGUGAUUGACGAACAAAUAAGUGAUAGUGAAAUAGUCCAAGAGUUCUGGUUGGGAUAUUUUAAGAUGGACAACUCCAGAAUUGUUUCAACUGAGAUGUUCAGACAGCGAAGAAAAAAGGGCGUUGAAUCUUCUUUUGAACUCCUGAAUUUUUGUAUAGAGAAAAAAAAAGAAGUGAUUGGUUGCUAUGAGCUGUGGGUAUUAUUAUUGAAUCAUUGGAGGAACAAUUAUCCUCUUGAAGUUGAAGAAGUCUCAAAAAUAUAGAUUCACUGAGAGAAUUGCCGAAUUGAAUGGUUCAAAGCAGGCGAUCAAACUGUUGACUGAACACAAUUCUCAAUCGAAAGGUUCUAUUGAUUUCAUCUUAAACGAUAAUUAUGCAGAGACGUCAUUUGAUUUGAAAUUUAAUUCCAAAAUUGAAUCUUC
rnacentral:lncRNA from 1 species